rnacentral:rRNA from 1 species
UUCCAGACUCCUACGGGAGGCAGCAGUGGGGAAUAUUGGACAAUGGGGGGAACCCUGAUGCAGCGACGCCGCGUGGGUGAAGAAGCGCCUCGGCGCGUAAAGCCCUGUCAGCAGGGAAGAAAAUGACGGUACCUGAAGAAGAAGCCCCGGCUAACUACGUGCCAGCAGCCGCGGUAAUACGUAGGGGGCUAGCGUUAUCCGGAAUUACUGGGCGUAAAGGGUGCGUAGGUGGUUUCUUAAGUCAGAGGUGAAAGGCUCCGGCUCAACCGUAGUAAGCCUUUGAAACUGGGGAACUUGAGUGCAGGAGAGGAGAGUGGAAUUCCUAGUGUAGCGGUGAAAUGCGUAGAUAUUAGGAGGAACACCAGUUGCGAAGGCGGCUCUCUGGACUGUAACUGACACUGAGGCACGAAAGCGUGGGGAGCAAACAGGAUUAGAUACCCGAGUA